rnacentral:rRNA from 1 species
AGAACGAACGCUGGCGGCAUGCCUAACACAUGCAAGUCGAACGCUCACCGGGCUUCGGUUCGGUGGGAGUGGCGCACGGGUGAGUAGCGCGUGGGAACCUGCCCUGUUGUGGGGGAUAACCGAGGGAAACUUCGGCUAAUACCGCAUGCGCCCGGGGAAACCCGGGGAAAGAUUUAUCGCAGCAGGAGGGGCCCGCGUCGGAUUAGGUAGUUGGUAGGGUAACGGCCUACCAAGCCUUUGAUCCGUAGCUGGUCUGAGAGGAUGAUCAGCCACACUGGGACUGAGACACGGCCCAGACUCCUACGGGAGGCAGCAGUGGGGAAUAUUGGACAAUGGGCGCAAGCCUGAUCCAGCAAUGCCGCGUGAGUGAUGAAGGCCUUAGGGUUGUAAAGCUCUUUCGCCCGCGACGAUGAUGACGGUAGGCGGGAGAAGAAGCCCCGGCUAACUUCGUGCCAGCAGCCGC